AGUGAACGCUGGCGGUAGGCCUAACACAUGCAAGUCGAACGGCAGCACAGUAAGAGCUUGCUCUUACGGGUGGCGAGUGGCGGACGGGUGAGGAAUACAUCGGAAUCUACUUUUUCGUGGGGGAUAACGUAGGGAAACUUACGCUAAUACCGCAUACGACCUACGGGUGAAAGCAGGGGAUCUUCGGACCUUGCGCGAUUGAAUGAGCCGAUGUCGGAUUAGCUAGUUGGCGGGGUAAAGGCCCACCAAGGCGACGAUCCGUAGCUGGUCUGAGAGGAUGAUCAGCCACACUUGAACUGAGACGCGGUCCAGACUCCUACGGGAGGCAGCAGUGGGGAAUCUUGGACAAUGGGCGCAAGCCUGAUCCAGCCAUACCGCGUGGGUGAAGAAGGCCUUCGGGUUGUAAAGCCCUUUUGUUGGGAAAGAAAAGCAGCAGGUUAAUACCCCGCUGUUCUGACGGUACCCAAAGAAUAAGCACCGGCUAACUUCGU
rnacentral:rRNA from 1 species